CCCUUAGAUGUUCGGGGCCGCACGCGCGCUACACUGAAGGAAUCAGCACGUCUUUCUCCUUGUCCGAAAGGACUGGGUAACCCGCUGAACCUCCUUCGUGCUAGGGAUUGGGGCUUGUAAUUCUUCCCCAUGAACGAGGAAUUCCCAGUAAGCGCGAGUCAUAAGCUCGCGUUGAUUACGUCCCUGCCCUUUGUACACACCGCCCGUCGCUACUACCGAUUGGAUGGUUUAGUGAGAUCCUCGGAUUGGUCCUGGCGCGGCCUCUGGUCGUGCCGGAGUGCCGAAAAGAAUGUCGAACUUGAUCAUCUAGAGGAAGUAAAAGUCGUAACA
rnacentral:rRNA from 1 species